rnacentral:rRNA from 1 species
UACGUAGGGGGCUAGCGUUGUCCGGAAUCAUUGGGCGUAAAGCGCGUGUAGGCGGCCCGGUAAGUCCGCUGUGAAAGUCGGGGGCUCAACCCUCGGAUGCCGGUGGAUACUGUCGGGCUAGAGUGCGGAAGAGGCGAGUGGAAUUCCGUGGUGUAGCGGUGAAAUGCGCAGAUAUCAGGAGGAACACCAAUUGCGAAGGCAGCUCGCUGGGACGUGACUGACGCUGAGACGCGAAAGCGUGGGGAGCAAACAGG